CGGCCCUCGAGGACCAGGAGUGCCCACACCUGGUAGAUGGAGCUCCAGAAUGGUUUGGAGGCAUUUACCAACUCUCUCCACUUUACACUCAAGAGAACACCAGCCACACUGUGGCAAGCUCUCCCACCAAUUCACAUCUCCUGCAUUCCAAGGAGAUGGGAGGAAGUAAAUGGUGAUGCAGAUGUGUGUGCCUGCUGUAGCUCAAAGUGUAAAGGUCCAUCAAUCAAGAACCUUCCUAAUUGUGAGUUUCUUAAAACCUGAGGCUGAGUUGUAACCUCUUGCCAUAACUUCAUGCUUAUCAACUCAGACACUAAAGGAGUCGCCAACAUUGGCCCCUUGGUCAUUGUGGAGGACUGGGAGUCAAGUCCUGUACUUCCAGACUCUAAACCACUUGAUGCGUCAGGCUCCUCUUUACCCACCACCAUGAUGGCUGCAACUGGAGAAAACUUUCUUGGUGCUGCUGCUUUUCUGACACAAGCUGAGCUUCAGUCUUCCCCACAGGGUGUUGUUGUGGUGCGCCAGGAGCCAACAUCCAAGCUAACACUCUGGCUACCCGGAGAAGUGCAAGGUGACCUCAUUUCUCAGUUUGGUUUACCGGGUCAAGAUGGUCAUUCAUUGCAGGAAGUUUCAAGCAUAAAUGGAAAUUCUCUGACUCUACCCAUAAAUUAAAUCACUCACUUAGUAAGCGACAAAGGUGAUUCCUCACAAUGGGACAUGAAGCUGCUAACACUGGUUGAUGGAUGGCAGAUUCCUCAAGAAAAUGAAAUUGUUGCCAAUGAAUUUCAGAGGAAAAGCAGAUAUGGAAGAUCUGGGAAUUCUGAUAAAGCCACUCGGUCUAAUUUAUCUCUUCCAUCUGAGAUGAAUGUCAGCCAUAGGCUGGUCAACGAGGCAAAAUUAACAGUUCCAGAUGCCACAGCAGAGGAAAUCCAAAUGAAAUGGUUACCAGCAGAUCUAGCUAAGUCUUCUGACACACAGAUGGAUGCAGCAAUGGAGCCUAAUGAGGAUCAUCCAAUAAUUCGCACAAAACUGGAGUUUUCAAAGGGUGCAGAUGGGUCAAAGAAGCUGAGUUAUGAGGAAGAAGUACAGCAGCAAGAGAGAAGGCAUGAAAAAGAUGACCUGAAGAGGAAGUUUGGAUUGAAGGGCCUGCGUUUAACAUUUCUGGAUUUGUUGAGGAGGAUGGACAAGGGAGAAUGAUGGACGCAUAUUGUAACACAAUA